rnacentral:lncRNA from 1 species
AUUGUCUUCAUGUAAUUAUUAUUCUUAGUCCCAUUAGUGAAAUUGUGAUCCAUUUCUGUCAUGAUUCGUGGGCUAAGUAUGGCUACAAGACACUCCUGUUUAUGGUGAAACAGAAUCUUCCUCAUCUUCCCCUAGGAAUGGAUAUGUUACAGUAACAUAUCUGUCUAGCCUUUAAUGAAUAUAUGUACACAUGUUCUACAACAAACUUGCAUUGAGUUUUGGUCCCAAUAUGGAGGAAAAUAUCUCCCUAUGCAUUUCUACUACAUACAAUCAUAUCCAGAUAUUUUUGUUAAAAGUAUUGAAAGAUUGAGAUCGCGAUAAAUCAGUCUCCGUGUAGUAUGUAAGUCACAAAUUCAAGUCAUAGAAUCAGCCACUAGUACUUGCGUCAGGAUAGACUGCUUAAAUUACACCCCUUAGGGUGUGCCCUUUCCCCAGACCCUAUGUAAGUAAACUCAGGAUGCUUCAAGCAGCGACCAGUCCUAUCAAAAGAUUGAGAUCAUAGUUGUUUUGUUGAUCUCUUCUCAAAUGUUAAUGUCUUAGGAUAAUACAGAUCACGGAUGGUGAGACCUGCAAUUAAUUGUAAUUGGAAAAUUACUACUAAUUUAAAGAUUUAACAGGAAAGAAGCUCGUUGGACACAUCAAUAAGAAGACUGAUAAUCAAUUUUAUAGUGAUGAAAACUACCUUCUCUUCCUGACUAUUUGCUACUUUUGCGGUGGGUCUACAUUUCAGGUGUUUGUGAAUGAUCAGUUCCUCAACUGGGAUCCAAACAAUCGUAUCAAAGUUAGAAUUGUAUCUGCCAGAGCCUAUCACUCCUUGUUCAUGCACAACAUGUAAGAAGCUGAUCAUGAUACUAAUUAAAACUCUCUGUUUUUACUUUCUUAUGUUUUACCAGGUCAGCAGAUAAGUAUCUUUCUACUUUUACAUAUGCACAUUACCUAUCUUUAGAUUUUACUCCCAUUUAAGAGCCUUAGUGAAUUAAAGGAAAUAUCAAAAGAUCAUGUAAAACAUGUUAGUAAGUGCAAUUCAAUAACCGGGUCGGUGACAGGUGUAUCCGACCCACUCCAGAAGAGCUGGAGGAUUUUGGUACUCCGGACUUCACAAUUUACAAUGCUGGUCAAUUCCCAUGUAACCGUUACACCCACUAUAUGACUUCCUCCACUAGCAUAGACAUCAAUCUUGCUAGGAGGGAAAUGGUCAUCCUUGGCACACAGUAUGCUGGGGAAAUGAAGAAAGGUCUUUUCGGGGUAAUGCACUAUCUAAUGCCUAAGCGCCAAAUUCUCUCUCUACACUCUGGCUGCAAUAUGGGAAAAGAAGGAGAUGUAGCCCUCUUCUUUGGAUUAUCAGGUAAAGUAUAAAGGGAUUGGUCCUCCCUUUAUCGGAGAAGCAACAAUACGUGCCCUCUUAUCUUUAUAUCUCACAGCAAAAUGUGAAAUUGUUUCUAUUCGAUGCUCAUGUUUCUCUCUCUGGACUUGUUCUUCAUCUUAGGAACUGGGAAGACAACACUGUCUACUGAUCACAACCGAUACCUGAUCGGAGACGAUGAACACUGCUGGAGUGAUCAUGG